rnacentral:rRNA from 1 species
GGGGAAAAUUGCACAAGGGGGGAAACCCUGCUGCCGCCAUGCCGCGUGUGUGACGAAGGCCGUCGGGGUGAAAAACACUUUCAGUCCUGAGGAAGGUGGUGUAGCUAAGAUGUGCACCAAUUUAAGGUGCUGACGGAAGAAGCACAGGAUAAUUCCGUGCCAGCAGCCGCGGUAAUACGGAGGGUGCGAGCGUAAUCGGAAUUACUGGGCGUAAAGCGUGCGCAGGCGGUUUGUUAAGCGAGAUGUGAAAGCCCCGGGCUCAACCUGGGAUGGUCAUUUCGAACUGGCAAGCUAGAGUCUCGUAGAGGGGGGUAGAAUUCCAGGUGUAGCGGUGAAAUGCGUAGAGAUCUGGAGGAAUACCGGUGGCGAAGGCGGCCCCCUGGACGAAGACUGACGCUCAGGCACGAAAGCGUGGGGAGCAAACA